UGUUCCAGCCAUUUCAAGUGACAAUUUAUUGAGAGAAAAUUAGGGGUUUGAACGUUCUCUUAUAUUUAAUUGAUUUAGACAUGUAGUUCACCCACUGACAAUUUUCAUUCAGUACCUCCUAUCUGAUGCGAGAGAGAGGACAGGUUAAUUUUACAUUCUCAUUUCUUCUCCUGAUGUAUUUAUGUUUCCUAUCUGCCUAUCGGUUUCCAGAAGCUUUGCCCCAGGAUCUAUUAGCUUUGCUCCAAGCGGUGGUGGGUUGAGGGUUUUGAUUUCGAACAGUGUGCGGAAAACCAUCCAGAACAUCAAGGAGACACGGGUAAGGGAGGAGGAUGAGAUUUAUACGAUGCUCAAGUUCAGUAUUUUCCCUAGUGAGACUGCACAUAAGCUUCUCCUUCAUGCCACCAAUCCUGAAGAUACUAUGAAGCAGUGUAAGUCUUUGUUCCAAGUUAAGUAUUUUCCACAGCUACGUGUUACUGAGAAGAGAUGAGAGCAAUUGUACAAAUGACGCUUAUACUCGGAAGCAAGAGAUUCACUAAUUAGAAAAAAGACUGAAAGACCAAUUUGAGGUCUGAAGCAUGUUGGCUCUUGGAUACAGACCAAGGUUAAAUUAAUUCAUUUAAAAUUUGAGGGUCAUCCUUGCAGAAAUCAGGAGAAUGAAAUAUUCUACAUGGAAACAUCUUCUAAGAGUGCAGAGAACAUUCUUCUCUAUGAAAUAGGUACUUGGAUGUUGUUUGGAACGAACCAGGAAAAUGUCCCACCUUGAUCGGAGAAUCCAUGGGACAACUUUCUUAAUCAUAAAAAUGGAGGAUAACAUGGUGGAGGUUCCAUUUUUUUUGAGAAAUUGGACAUCUUCUAUGUGAGGCUCAAGUGUCAUCUUAAACAUAGACAAAAGGUGAAGUGCUUCUUAUUGUCCUCUUCCGCUCCGGUGAAGUGCUUCGUGGUCCUCUUCCGCUGGUGGGAAGAAUUCUUAAUUAUUUGUCUUCUACGUGUAUUUUCACUUCGACAUCUGAAAGCUUUUGUUGCAUGUUUUGAUUUAGGUGCUUUCCGAAGAAUUUUCGCCUGAAAGUUUUUUGGAUUUUGAUUUUAAAACCGCUUUGUUGUUGUUGUGAAAAUGGAACAUCGUUUAGUGUUUAGUUGAUGUAUAGAAGUUGAGUAUUCAUUUACACUCAUAUUUCUCUUCCAUCUCAUUUCCACAAAUUUCUCUUCCUAUAUCUCUCUUCUAUUCUUAUCAUAUCAUUUAUCAUAUCUCU